rnacentral:rRNA from 1 species
UACGGAGGCAGCAGUGGGGAAUAUUGCACAAUGGGCGCAAGCCUGAUGCAGCCAUGCCGCGUGUAUGAAGAAGGCCUUCGGGUUGUAAAGUACUUUCAGUCGUGAGGAAGGUGUUAAGGUUAAUAACCUUAGCAAUUGACGUUAGCGACAGAAGAAGCACCGGCUAACUCCGUGCCAGCAGCCGCGGUAAUACGGAGGGUGCGAGCGUUAAUCGGAAUUACUGGGCGUAAAGGGCACGCAGGCGGUUAAUUAAGUUGGAUGUGAAAUCCCCGGGCUUAACCUGGGAAUGGCAUUCAAGACUGGUUAGCUAGAGUCUUGUAGAGGGGGUAGAAUUCCAUGUGUAGCGGUGAAAUGCGUAGAGAUGUGGAGGAAUACCGGUGGCGAAGGCGGCCCCUGGACAAAGACUGACGCUCAUGUGCGAAAGCGUGGGGAGGCAAACAGGAUUAGAUACC